rnacentral:rRNA from 1 species
AGCUCGUGUCGUGAGAUGUUGGGUUAAGUCCCGCAACGAGCGCAACCCUUGUCUUUAGUUGCCAUCAUUAAGUUGGGCACUCUAGAGAGACUGCCAGGGAUAACCUGGAGGAAGGUGGGGAUGACGUAAAAUCAUCAUGCCCCUUAUGCUUAGGGCUACACACGUGCUACAAUGGGUAGUACAGAGGGUUGCCAAGCCGUAAGGUGGAGCUAAUCCCUUAAAGCUACUCUCAGUUCGGAUUGUAGGCUGAAACUCGCCUACAUGAAGC